CAUCAUUGCACAGAAGAGAAACUCUGUAUCUCAGAGAGAUUAAGUAAACUGUCCAAGAUCAAAUUCAAACUUCCCUCACUACAAAGCCAAGAGGUUCUCUACAUGGUAGCCCCUUGGCUCUACUAAAUCAUUCAAGCAGCCCCAUGGCAUGUGUGUAUUAAACAACUGUGACUUCCAAGGUCUCUGCCAUGAUUGAUACCCUGAUUGGGAGCUCCCAGUGGGAUAAGGCAAUGGAGUGCAGUGUUCACAAGUUCUUCCUGGAGG